AUUUGAAUGAAAAAUUGAUCAGUGGAAGUCUAAAACAUGGUAGACUACAUGAAAGUUGAAAGAGAAAAAGUAUAACGUAUUUGCAACGAUUUCCAGGGACUUUUGUAUUUUAUAGAUUAGAUUGCGCCCGUCGUAGACGGUUGAGAUGUACAAGUGGAAAACCAGAGGAAAAGGUAGAGGUAGUAGUGAGCCGCGCCCUAUUUUCAUCAUCCCCCAAGCGGGUAAAACGUUUACCCACAGCAUCCCAGUGGCAGACGUGCCGAGUCUCCCGAACCUUCCGUUACUCUGAUGCUAACAUUGGCUACUAAUCUGUACAUAAUUCAUUGAACAUAAUAUAUGAAUAUAUAAAUUUUCAAACUCUAUUGGAUCUCUUCCUACAUGUCUACUCGGAAAACGAUCACAAAACACUCAAUUUUUCAAGUGGUCAACUUCACUACAUCAGUGAAACGCAUCCGUGAUCUACCCUGUAGAUCCGGGCUUUUGUAGAAUAAUGAUUUGCAUUUCAGAAGCUCGUCUCUACAGGUAUCUUACGGAUGGAAGUUUACCCCGACCCGGACAGAUUUUCACGAUACAUAUACGAUUCAAUAACCAGACUAAUAGACACAAAGGAUUAUCAUUAUUAUGAUAAAAUUAUUACAUAUGCAAUUACUAAACUUAUAUUAUUUAUAUUAAUAAAAUAUAUAUUUUGUAACACUUGAUUCAUAUCUUACAGAUUUUAAAUACAACUUUAAAUAUUUAA